rnacentral:lncRNA from 1 species
AUGCCACGCAUCAAGAAGGCAUCACAGGUAACCCAGCACCCAUUUGGAUUCCAGAAAGACUUACGCGCCCUUGCGAUGAUCCCCAGCCCAACAACAAGCCCUGUGAUGCAUUGGAGCAGGAAAGUGAGUAGGGGGGCAUUGAGGAGGCUGAACUACAAGUUUAAGAAGAUGCAAAUACAAACUGACUGUGCUAAAAUGACAACUCAGGUUGCUUUACCUACUUGGGGACAAAUUAAGAGACUAGUAACCCAAGUGGAAGAGACUGUGGGCAAGCAAGGAUUUACACCUCCUGAUUGUACUGCUGCUUUAUUUCUUGUCAUGUUAGCCCUUUUAUCUGCACCUCCUGGCACUUCUACCAACACUUACUGGGCUUACGUGCCCAAUCAGUCACUUGGGACUUUUCUUUGCCCCCUCCAAUGUCCAAUGUAUCCUAUUUUCACCUUACUAUGCCCAUUGAAUGACCUGUUCAAGAGAACUUCAGUUUUAUAGCCCAGACCAAUACCCUCAUCAUCUGUUUUAGUCUCACCUGGUGGUGUGCAGUGGGCUCCUGACAAACUCCUCUACACUUUGUCAGUAAAUAAGACUCAGAUGGUUACUUGUUAUAAUAACAACUUUUAGGAUAUUCUUUAUGUUCCAUCCAUCUCCCAGAUAGAGUUGAGUGAAAGUUCUAACAUUUCCUACACCCCAACAGAACGAGCUUUGGGGGUACCCCCCUUGCCAGAAUAUCAUUACCUCCUCUAUUUUUUAUGAGUGUAUUUAUACUCCCCCAUGUGGCCAUCAUGUUCCAUAGUCUUCCUUUGGAUUUUUUUUUUAUUGGAGCCUGUCUGGCUCCAUAUCCAAUGCAUCCACUCAAUAUUACAAUCCACAAGGAUAUCUUUUACCUACCAUACAAUAUAAAAAUAUCCCACAUAGAUAUCUAUGGGCUUCCAUUAUGGCUCUAACUCCACUGAUAUCUUCAUGGAUCAAUUUCUUCUCUAACUUGUCUUUCCUCCUUAUACACGUAUUUGUUUGGUAAUAGAAAUAUUACUUUCAGUGAAUUUUCUUUUAAUUAUGCUUGUAUCAAUUGUACUCUUUCUAAUUGUCUUUCCCCAGGGAUCCAUAUCAAUACGAUACUGGCCACAUUCUCAUCCCCAUAAAAAUCUCUACGGCUUGGUAUCACUCCCAAGGUGCUUACAUGAUCCAGCAAAAAAAAAAAAUGAAUUAAUGUGUACCAAAAGAGCCCUUGGUCUUCUUAUUACAGCUAUAAGCUCUCUAGUUAUGAUGCUUAUAUCUACCACUGCUGUAGCUGUUGCCUUUACACUAGAAAUCAAAACUGCUGCUUUUACAUUAAUAAUCUCACCGCUAACAUAUCCAAUACCUGGUAUAUGCAAGAACAAAUAGAUUUGAAUAUAGAGUCCAGAUUAGACAUCCUAGAAAACAGCCUUCUCUGGCUCAGAGAUUGUAUACAAUACAUUGCUCUUAGGCAACAACUUGGCUGUCACUGAUUAUACUGCAAUUGGUGCUUCCUCCUGAACUCUAAAUGAAUUAGCAUGGGACUUAAUGAAACAAUACCUCCUUAACCAAUGGAGCCAGUUUAAUGAUACUAGCUUUCUGGAGCAACUAUAUCCAUAUAUCCCAAAGCCAUCUGGGUACUUUACCCACAUUUCAACCUGCUGAUUUUAUUCUAGCUUUAAGAGACAUUCCUUUGGACCUUCCUCAUCUACUCACCAUAGAAUCAAUAGCCCUUCUGGCUCUUUCCCUUUGCCUUGUCAUUCCCUGUAUUAUUAGAGUUUUUAGGAUAUCUUAUGGCCAACUCUGAGCUGCCUCUCAUCACUUUAAGUUGCAACUUCAACAAUUAAGAAAGUGGGAAAGUUGAUAAAAAUCAUUUUAAUGCAAUCGUGGAUAGUAGUUUGCCUAUUGGAAUGUAUCAUAUAGAUAAUAGCUUGCUUUCAUUUGCCUUGUAUUUCAAAUUGUAUAUCUGACAAUACUCAUUUUGAUUUUAUAUACUUGUGUUUAUUAUCAGUCAUUUGUUAAACUGUAUACUCAUCAUCAAUUAUUUCUCAAAAUUGUUAAUCUUGAUCAUAUCCUUUGAUAUUGUUAUAUCUUCAUGGUCCACUGGCGUCAUUAUUACAGUACGCAAUCUAAAUUUUUUCUUUAAAUAAAAAGGAGGAAAUGUCAGAAGUUGAUAUCUCU